UUUUUGGGUACAUUGUUGUUCUGCCUGUUGUUCCUUGCAAUUAGAAGAAAACAUAAAUCAGAAUAACAUUUUUGGAUUGAAACCCCACUUUGCCCUGACCGGCUCCGUCUCCAACCACUUCCCCCAAAUCCCGGCGCCGCCGCCGCCGCGAGAAUCUCUCCAUCCACUCCCCCGAGUCCCCAGGAUGGCUCGUCUCGGCUCCACGACCGGGAACGGCGCGGCCAUGGUCGGUCGACAGCCCGCGCUGGCUCCUCGGCCAAGCGAGGCGGCUUGGGGGCGCCUCGGCCGCUGAGGCUCGCCGGUGGAGGCGCAGGGCGGCGGCGGCCCUCCUCUCCCUGCGGAUUCCUUCACGGCCGGACCGCCCCGACGUCCACGCCGGGCGGUGUACAAGGCCAAGGGCCGCCACGACCUCGACAUGAUCGUGGCAUACAAGCUUCGCCUCGAGCAGGAUCAUCUCCUCCCUUCCUUCCUCAAGGAGACCAGGUGCCGUUUCGCUCUUUCUGCAUGACGGAAGGACUGUGCACUCAAGGUUCAGGAUACCGCUGGCUAUUAGUUUGUGACAUAAAAGAUAGAUGGAAUUCAACGCUCUCUCUGAGCUUAAAGUUGGCACCGCUUGUUGCAUUGUCUGUGCCUAUGUUUCACGACUGUGGCACCAUCGCGGUGCAACAGAUACUGGUCCUAUUAAACAUACUGAAUGGUCUUGCUUGACAAUAUGGGAAACCACAUCUAUGCAGAGUUUUCAGAGAAGGUUGUCCACCAGUUCAUAGAUCUUAUUUAAGGAAUCAUGGUAUAUGAGCUUAGGAAGUUCUUUGUGCUCUCAAGGAAGUAUCUAUUCAGGCCUCUUGAGGGGAUCUUGCAUGAUCAAGAUCACUUCGUUCACUACUGCUUUCACAAGGCCUGGCAUUGAGCCAGACUUCCUGUUCUGUACGCUUUAACUCCGCCGGCUCAGCUCCCUGGUCCAACUGACAUGCCUGAAAAGUUCACAGAGGCAAGCAAACCAGUGUGGUGGUCAUAUGGCCUUGAAGUUUGCUGCUGAUGAAGUUAUUGAACUGGGCAAGAAAGAACCGGUCAUUGCUAUGUUUGUUGGGACGCUGUUCAAGAAAUAGGAAGGUCGUAGAGGUGUAACUGGAAGUGCUGCGUGUCGCUGGUACAUUAAUGAAGAUUUGCAGACAUAAGAUUGUUCAGCAGAAGGAAAGCAACUUAUCUUUAUUGAAGGCCGAAGGGGCAUAUAUAUAUUACACAUGACUUGAGGUGUAAGGAACUAAACAUAGACUAAUAAGGACUCCUAGACCAAUACUAAUACUCCUUAACACCCCCCCUCAAAUGCAAGCGUAUGCAAUAGCAUUGCAUUUGAAGAAGUGUAAUACUAAAAAAAAAUGAUAAUCCAAAUCCGCAUCUUGAGAGUGUCGUCGUAGUAUGAAGAGUCUUCAAAACCUGUCGAGUCGCCAAAGGGGAUAACGAAGAGAUGGCACAUCAAAGAAAGACACCACAUCGAUAGAAGAUACAAGAGAAGUAUCAAGAGAAGAUGGGUUGUCAAAAGAAGAUGGCACAUCAAGAGAAUGAAGCAUUGCUUAAAGAAUCAUGGCCCAUGAAAACCGACGGCGAAAGAAGCUCGGCGGCAAGAGAAUGAGCUUAGAUCGACAAUGCAAAGAGAGGCCACAGAAAUCCUAUACAGAGGACAAUGACCAGAAAAAAAAAGGCUGACAGACAUAGGUAUGGUGGACUCACAUGACAUGAGAAAACACAAAAUAUCAACGGAUUUGGUGGACGCAGCGGAAACUAUAGAAAACUAGGAAGAUAAAAAAAACACAUGAAGUAGAUACGAUGGCAGCGAAAGAAAAAAUCAUGGUGCCGAGGGCCAAGACCAAGCAGAGCUCCCGUGUUGCGCUCCUGACUGUGAAGAGGGCCAAGCAGAGCUCCCGUGUUGUGUUCCUGACUGUGAAGAGGGCCAAGCAGAGCUCCCGUGUUGUGCUCCUGACUGUGAAGAGGGUGGUCUCUCUGAGCUAGAAGAGUCAACAACAAGACCAGCAGAACCUGGUGAAGAAGAACCCGAAGCUGCAAGUAGACGCUUAAGUCGCACAAUAUCCUGCUCAGUCAGGGACACUGCUGAAGGGGUCGGAAUAGAAGCACAAGUCCCUGAAGAAGAUAUGCGCCCCUGGCGCAUGUGCCGCUUCUUCAGAAAGCACUCAGACUCGGGAUGACCAUCCUUGUUGUAGUAGUCGCAAUGAGAACGAGAGCGGCCCUCACCACUAGGAGAAGUGGGCAGGAGUGGCAGAGCACUGGAGCGUGAAAGAGGCGGUGUAGUAGAAGCUCGAGCAGCAAGCACAGAGGGAACCUCAAGUAAACCGGCACCACGUAGGCGAGUCUCUUCAGCCCGAAUCUCAGAAAGCGCCUCCAUAAGAGUAAUACGACCAUGGGCAAACAACUGAGCACGCCGUGGCUCAAAUUCUGGACUAAGUCGAGACAAGAACUCAUAGACGCGAUGAAACUCCAAGUCGGCCCGCACAGCUUGGCAACACUGACAAGUACGACAACCAGCAGUGCGAAGGGAGUCAAGCUGGCGCCAAAUGGCAGAACUCUGUGUGUAGAAAUCAUCAACAGUGGAGUCACCCUGCUGAAGAGCAUGCUCCUGGCGAACCACAGAUAGAUACAAGGCAUCACCGGAGGGUUGAUAGCGCUGACAAAAAUAUGUCCACAUUGCAAAGGCGGUAGCGAGGCCCAUAAAGUCAGAGGCAAACUGAGGCAAAACACUGGAAGUGAGAACAGCUGCAGCACGAGCAUCAUCAUCAGACCACUGAGUGUAACCAGCUAGAGCAUCACGGUAAAAGUGAAGGGCCUCCUCAUAGGUCAAAACCUGUUGCUCAUAGGCACGAGUUGCAGACUCAUCAGCAAGCUUAGCAGCAUCCUUAGCAGCCUGAGGAGCAUCCGCAGCAAGGGACGAUGGCGUCGGCGGAGUAGGAGCCACGGGAGGAACCGGGCGCGGCGGACAAGAGACCUCGCCAGACAGAACACCCCAGAGACGAAUACCACGCAUAUGAAUGCGGAAGAAGCCAACAAACUCACUGUAGUUUGUACCAUCAAAAACCACCGGGCAACGGGGAACGACGACAUAGCCUGAUGACAUCGUACUUUUUUUUUUACUCAAAGCAAACCAGCCUUAGAUGGAAGCAACACCGCGGCCGGCGGCGGAAUAUGCAGACGAACAAGCAGAACAGACCCUCACGUGGUUUGUAGGAGCAACCUAACAGCAGCAGUAGGAAAGCUAGCUGCAGGCGCAAGAGACGAACACGCACACGAGAUCAGGGCCCUCACGUGAACGUGGCUCGUAGCACCCGUACUAGCCAGCCAACAAAGUCAAUGGAGGCAGUCAACCAAUGGGAGAUCCUCGUCCACUACCUAAUCCUGUAGAAGACGAGGCACCGCGAUCUGCUAACGGCGGAACAACGGCAGCCGGCGGCGGAAUCCGACUGGAGAUCACGACAGACUGCGGCCGGCGGCGGGAUUCGGCUGGAGGACAGCAGAUCGGCGCGACCAGAAGGAGAUGAGCAGCAUAAAAGCUAGCAGCAGCCAGACAUGAGCAGAUCACGUCAGCAAGGAGAUAGGAUCGAGGAAAAAUACGAGAUCGAUACGGAACCGAUCAGUACGAGCACGAGUUGCGGCGUGCGAGAAAAAAAUAACCUAGGCUCUAAUACCAUGUUAGGAAAGCAACUUAUCUUUAUUGAAGGCCCAAGGGGCAUAUAUAUAUUACACAUGACUUGAGGUGUAAGGAAACUAAACAUAGACUAAUAAGGACUCCUAGACCAAUACUAAUACUCCUUAACACUGAUGUGGCUCGUUUCUACUAUUAUCCGGUUUACAUGGUGCCCCACUGGUAAUAGAACGAACCCAUUUUCUAGGGCAGGGGCUGCUGCCAAGGUCGACGCACAAGUCAAUUUACAAACAAAACCAGUUCAGGAAUUGCUUGACCUCGAUUUGUUUGAAGACCAGGAUGUCCACUUCUUCUGCACUUUCAUCGUUAUGGGGCUUAGUCCUAGCUACCCAGUGAUGGUGGUUCUGUUUUUGCAGCAUGCCAUAAGUCGUCAGCGCCUUGUGCAGCUGCGUAUAAGUGCUCAGACCCUGACUGCAAUGGGAUGGAUGCGUUCCUAGGUACCGGAUAUAUGCUACCCGGUCCAUGAUGAUGGUUCCGAGGCCAAGUUUGUUCUCUUCGACACGGUCCAGUAUUGCUUUGUCGUGUUGAUCCCCAAUAAGUGUUAUCUAAACGAGCAAGAGUCCAGCAGCAUCCAGGAGUGGUUCAUGUAGCUGUGUUGUUUCUCUUCUAGCUGAUGAUGUCAGUGAUACUUUGCAAGGAGAUAUGUCGCCUUCACAUGGACUUGCUGCUGUUCAGAAAACUGAAGACAUCCCCACUCCGGGUCUGACCACGACACCACCUCCUAAGGGUGGAUAGGAGACACCUCAUUCCGCUUCAAAAACAGUUGGACUCUAGGUAUGUAUAAAUUCACUGAACGGAAUGGUCGCCUUCAUAGCUUGACCACAUUUGUUCUGACAUGCAUGUUGUGCAGCCAUGGUGCUUCUCCUAUCAAGAAAAUAGUUACAGUUUUGAGAUGCUCUUUGUCAGGAAAAUUCAAUUAUUAUUCAUGUCAAAAUCUCAUUUGGGACAGCAUGUCAAAAACCUUAAAGCUGAACCAAAAGUGCAAUUCUAUACUUGGCUGUCAAUCUAAAACCGUAACUGGACUGCAGAUAGACGUAAAAACAGAUGGCCCCAUGAUGGCAACUGCGUCCUCUGUGAUCAGUCCAGUCGAAACGGCUGCCCAUCUCACACACUACAUUGCCCUUUUGCCAAAGAGGUGUGAAAGCGGAAUCAUCUUUCUGACCCCGGUUACUCCAUGUCCAACAUUGCGUUGCAGGCCAUGCACAUCCGUGAAGAAAUGGUGAAGCUACUCUGCUCACAUGGCGAGGAAAACUAGGAAAAAAGACUCAGGCUGUCACUUAGUUAUAUGGUUGUUGCCUGUAAUAUUUCGAAAGAGCGAGACGGGAGGCUCUUUGAAGGAAAAUAGAGCACCACAUCACUCGGAGCUGCUGAACUUGUCCGAAGCGACGUCGCUCUUCUUUAAGAUGCUUGCCAGAGCUAAUUUAGGUCAUUGUACAGCGAAGUGCCAUCUUAUCUUGGCUGGUUCGAUUGUUUAGCCUUUUGUUUCCUGAUCUUUACCCUGUAAAAGGAUUGUAAUUCCGCCUUCUCAAUGCCAAGCCCCUCUUUGACAGUCCUGGUC